rnacentral:rRNA from 1 species
GGGCCAGUAGGUUGGUCGUGCCACCGGUACGUACUGGUCUCACUGAUUCCUCCUCCCUGAAGAACCGUAAUGCCAUUAAUUUGGUGUUGCGGGGAAACAGGACUGUUACUUUGAAAAAAUUAGAGUGUUUAAAGCAAGCUAACGCUUGAAUACAUUAGCAUGGAAUAAUGAAAUAGGACGAUCGAUCCUAUUUUGUUGGUUUCUAGGAUUGACGUA